UAUUUUUAUAGUGUAAUUAACACGUAACAUUUUCGUUGUUAAUAAGCUAUCGCUAAAAAUAUCC
rnacentral:tRNA from 1 species